UGAAGCGGCAAUAGCUCAAAUUUGAAAGCUGGCGCCUUCGGCGUCCGCGUUGUAAUUUGUAGAGGAUGCUUCGGCGAGGACUCCUGCCUAAGUUCCCUGGAAUGGGACGUCACAGAGGGUGAGAAUCCCGUAUGUGGCGGGCGGUCCAAGCCAUGUGAAGCUCCUUCGACGAGUCGAGUUGUUUGGGAAUGCAGCUCUAAAUGGGAGGUAAAUUUCUUCUAAAGCUAAAUACCGGCCAGAGACCGAUAGCGCACAAGUAGAGUGAUCGAAAGAUGAAAAGCACUUUGGAAAGAGAGUUAAAAAGUACGUGAAAUUGUUGAAAGGGAAGCGCUUGCAACCAGACUCGCUCGCAGUUGCUCAGCCUGCCUCUUGGCGGGUGUACUCUUCUGUGAUCGGGCCAGCAUCAGUUCGGGCGGCCGGAUAAAGGUGUCGGGAAUGUAGCACCCUUCGGGGUGUGUUAUAGCCCGGCGCGGAAUGCGGCCAGCCUGGACUGAGGAUCUCGCUUCGGCAAGGAUGCUGGCGUAAUGGUUGUAAGCGGCCCGUCUUGAAACACGGACCAAGGAGUCUAACAUCUAUGCGAGUGUUUGGGUGUCAAACCCAUGCGCGUAAUGAAAGUGAACGGAGGUGGGAACCCGCAAGGGUGCACCAUCGACCGAUCCUGAUGUCUUCGGAUGGAUUUGAGUAAGAGCAUAGCUGUUGGGACCCGAAAGAUGGUGAACUAUGCCUGAAUAGGGUGAAGCCAGAGGAAACUCUGGUGGAGGCUCGCAGCGGUUCUGACGUGCAAAUCGAUCGUC
rnacentral:rRNA from 1 species